rnacentral:rRNA from 1 species
UACGGAGGGAGCUAGCGUUGUUCGGAAUUACUGGGCGUAAAGCGCACGUAGGCGGCUUUGUAAGUCAGAGGUGAAAGCCUGGAGCUUAACUCCAGAACUGCCUUUGAGACUGCAUCGCUUGAAUCCAGGAGAGGUGAGUGGAAUUCCGAGUGUAGAGGUGAAAUUCGUAGAUAUUCGGAAGAACACCAGUGGCGAAGGCGGCUCACUGGACUGGUAUUGACGCUGAGGUGCGAGAGCGUGGGGAGCAAACAGG